rnacentral:rRNA from 1 species
AACGAACGCUGGCGGCAGGCCUAACACAUGCAAGUCGAACGGUAGCACAGAGAGCUUGCUCUCGGGUGACGAGUGGCGGACGGGUGAGUAAUGUCUGGGAAACUGCCCGAUGGAGGGGGAUAACUACUGGAAACGGUAGCUAAUACCGCAUAACGUCGCAAGACCAAAGUGGGGGACCUUCGGGCCUCACACCAUCGGAUUCGCCCAGAUGGGAUUAGCUAGUAGGUUGGGUAAUGGCUCACCUAGGCGACGAUCCCUAGCUGGGCUGAGAGGAUUGGCAGCCACACUGGAACGAACACACUGACCAGACUCCAACGGGAGGGAGCAGUGGGGACUAUUGCACAAUGGGCGCAAGCCUGAUGCAGCCAUGCCGCGUGUAUGAAGAAGGCAUUCGGGUUGUAAAGUACUUUCAGCGGGGAGGACGGCGGUGAAGUUAAUAGCUUCACCGAUUGACGUUACCCGCAGAAGAAGCACCGGCUAACUCCGUGCCAGCAGCCACGGUAA